GGUCAAGCUACAAAGGGCUCAUGGCGGAUACCUUGGCACACAGAGGCGAUGAAGGACGUGGUUACCUGCGAUAUGUCUCGGGGAGCUGGAUACACGCUUUGAUCCGGGAAUUUCCGAAUGGGGCAACCCUUAAAACGGCCAGCUGAAUACAUAGGCUGGAGCGAGCUAA
rnacentral:rRNA from 1 species